rnacentral:rRNA from 1 species
UGAGAGUUUGAUCCUGGCUCAGGAUGAACGCUGGCGGCGUGCUUAACACAUGCAAGUCGAACGAAGCACUUUCCUCAAUCCCUUCGGGGUGACGGGAUUGUGACUUAGUGGCGGACGGGUGAGUAACGCGUGGGUAACCUGCCGUAUGCUGGGGGACAACAGUUGGAAACGACUGCUAAUACCGCAUAAGCCCACGGCCUCGCAUGAGGCUGUGAGAAAAACUCCGGUGGCAUACGAUGGACCCGCGUCUGAUUAGCUAGUUGGUGAGGUAACGGCCCACCAAGGCGACGAUCAGUAGCCGGCCUGAGAGGGUGAACGGCCACAUUGGGACUGAGACACGGCCCAAACUCCUACGGGAGGCAGCAGUGGGGAAUAUUGCACAAUGGGGGAAACCCUGAUGCAGCGACGCCGCGUGAGUGAAGAAGUAUUUCGGUAUGUAAAGCUCUAUCAGCAGGGAAGAAAAUGACGGUACCUGACUAAGAAGCCCCGGCUAACUACGUGCCAGCAGCCGCGGUAAUACGUAGGGGGCAAGCGUUAUCCGGAUUUACUGGGUGUAAAGGGAGCGUAGACGGCGAUGCAAGUCUGAUGUGAAAGCCCGGGGCUCAACCCCGGCACUGCAUUGGAAACUGUGUUGCUAGAGUGCAGGAGAGGUAAGUGGAAUUCCUAGUGUAGCGGUGAAAUGCGUAGAUAUUAGGAGGAACACCAGUGGCGAAGGCGGCUUACUGGACGAUAACUGACGUUGAGGCUCGAAAGCGUGGGGAGCAAACAGGAUUAGAUACCCUGGUAGUCCACGCUGUAAACGAUGAUUACUAGGUGUUGGGAGGCUAUAGCCUUUCGGUGCCGUCGCAAACGCAUUAAGUAAUCCACCUGGGGAGUACGUUCGCAAGAAUGAAACUCAAAGGAAUUGACGGGGACCCGCACAAGCGGUGGAGCAUGUGGUUUAAUUCGAAGCAACGCGAAGAACCUUACCAAAUCUUGACAUCCCGAUGAAAAGCUAUGUAAUGUAGCUCCUACUUCGGUACAUCGGUGACAGGUGGUGCAUGGUUGUCGUCAGCUCGUGUCGUGAGAUGUUGGGUUAAGUCCACCAACGAACGCAACCCCUUUGAUAUGUUGCCAGCGGGUCAUGCCGGGAACUCGUAUCAUACUGCUCGUUUACGCGAGAGGAAGGUGGGGAUGACGUCAAGUCAGUAUGGCCCUUACAUCCAGGGCUGCACACGUGCUACAAUGGCCGGUACAGAGGGACGCGAGACCGCAAGGUGGAGCCAAUCCCAGAGAGCCGGCCUCAGUUCAGAUCGGGGUCUGCAACCCGACCCCGUGAAGUCGGAUUUGCUAGUAACGGCGUAUCAGCUACGACGUCGUGAAUGCGUUCCCGGGCCUUGUACUCACCGCCGGUCA